UGGAUGUCAACAAGUGAGCGAUUGGCCACGGCGCAGGAAUUGCUGGAAAUAAGAUGGGGUUUUUUCUAUUCAAAUAAACAGAGAUCAGAGAAUGCAGAUUUCAAGUUAAUGAUGCAACAUACAUCAAAGUUGCUGGUGAACGCAGCAGGCUAAGCAGCAUCUGUAGGAAGAGGUGCAGUCGACGUUUCAGGCCGAGACCCUUCAUCAGGACUAACUGAAGGAAGCAUUAACAGAUGCUGUUAUCUUCUCCAAUUUGUAAAUGUUCAUUGUAAUUUCCAUCCAUACAUUUAUAUCACAGGCUCUCCUGUGAUAACCAUUUCCUGGUAAGGGUCUUUUUACCAGUCACUGGCAGUACAUUCAUUAAACAUUUAUCUCUUUUCAACCAUUCUUGAGGUAUAUACCCAAAAUAUAUUGUCUUACUCUCUAAGAGUAUUUCACAUUUAAAGAUGUCUUGUAGGGCAUUAUGUAUCUCACUCCAAUAGUCUUUGAUAAUGGGGCAUUCCCAGAAAAUAUGAUAAUGGUUUGCAUUCUGAUUUCCACAAUUUCUCCAGCAAACAGGGGGUUACUAUCAUAAUGGGA